rnacentral:lncRNA from 1 species
UCCCUUUUCAACAACUUCAGCCAUUUUUUUGGAUCUGUUGAGAUGACAAAGAUAUGUCAAUAUGAUAUAUGGAUGGAUCUCACACUGAUUAUAAGUGGGGAUUAGAUUUGAAUUGAAUUUCAAGAUUAGUUUGAAUUUAUUUUGGUUAUUGGUGAUUGAUUGUUGCAUAUGAGUUAUUUUUAGAUUUGUGAGUGAUAGGAGGAUAACCAUUAUAUCAUCAAUGUGCAGAAUAUUUGAUUUGUGCGGAAGCGUUUGAAUUUGAGUUUUUACUUCUUGAAGUGAAUUUGGGAUCCUCUUGAGGUACCUAGUAUCCUCAAGAUUUGGGGCAUGGUUGGCAGUGUCCUCAGAGAACACUGGUGGGUGACUCUGAGGCCUUUUGCCUAAAAUCUGACUGGUCAUAUUAGAGAAGUAGUUGGUGUAUGGUCCAGAUGUGCAUAUGUAGUGCACAUGGAGUACAUCACCACUUAAACACAUCAUUAUAAAUAAUAAAUCAUGCAAAAAUAUGGCAUAUUCAUGAACAAUCACAUAAGUACAACAUAGACAGUGUGUAUAACCGGCCCUUUACAGAUAAUCAUGUGCAAGAAAAUCUUUAGUAAUAUUAUCCUACACUUAGCCUUAAUAUAUAUGCUCAGUACAUGAUGUAUGACAUGAAAUGUAUGUAUGGGGAGAGAUCCCUGUGAUUUAUUAGUGCCUUCACAGACAAAGGGUGCAUCGUGUGGCUGAGCCAAGACAUUAGAACUCGAAAUAUCAGUAUAGAGUAUCAUAUAAAGAAUGAGAGUCAUGCAUGCAGGAUGUAGAACAUAGUGCAUGUUUAAGAUGUCGAUGACAUAGCAUAAAUAUAUGGGUAGCAUGUGGGUGUGACAUGAUAUGAUAUAGAAAUAACUAUCCAGUAGAUCGCAAACUAGAGAUAGGCUAUUUCGUUUUGAAGAAAGAUCAUACAGCAUAGAUCGAUAUAUAAAAUAAACAUGUAUUGAAUGACAUGCAAAGUGUAUAGCAAGAUAAUACAUAGGAUAAGUUUUUGAUCCUUUUAGGAUGGAGUAUCAUGUAUCGAUCUAGGGCUUUAGAUUUUACCAAACGCGGUUUGAUGAUGCUUCGGUUUGAUCGACGACAGUGAGAUGAAGCUUUGGAUUUGGGGGUUCCCAGAGAGGCGAUCGACGCAGUACUUCACGAGCGCUCUGAUACCAUGAGAAAGUUAAGCAAGUCAGGUGAAGUGUGAGUCGGAGCGACGCUGGGAGAUCGGAGGCGAC